GAAGGACGUAAUACACUGCGAUAAGCUCCGGGGAGUUGUGAAUAGACUUUGAUCCGGAGAUCUCCGAAUGGGAAAACCCACCUGAUUUAUCAGGUAUCCUAUAGUGAAUACAUAGCUAUAGGAGGCAAACUCAGUGAACUGAAAUAUCUCAUUAGCUGAAGGAAAGGACAUCAACCGAGACUCCGUUAGUAGUGACGAGCGAACGCGGACCAGGCCAAUGGCUUUAGAGUAAUAACUAGAACAACAUGGAAAGGUUGGCAAUAAUAGGUGAUAGCCCUGUAUAGGUAAAAAUCUUUAAAGUCUUCGAGUAGGGCGGGACACGUGAAAUCCUGUCUGAACAUGGGGGGACCACCCUCCAAGCCUAAGUACUCUCUAACGACCGAUAGUGAACAAGUACCGUGAGGGAAAGGUGAAAAGAACCCCGAUGAGGGGAGUGAAAUAGACACUGAAACCAAAUGCUUACAAGCAGUAGGAGCAAAAGCUUGCUUUUGUGACUGCGUACCUUUUGUAUAAUGGGUCAGCGACUUAGUUUAUCGAGCGAGCUUAAGCCGNUAGGUGUAGGCGUAGCGAAAGCAAGUCUGAAUAGGGCGAACAUAGUUCGAUGAAUUAGACCCGAAACCGGGUGAUCUAGCCAUGGCCAGGUUGAAGGUGGAGUAACAUCUACUGGAGGACCGAACCCACUAAUGUUGAAAAAUUAGGGGAUGAGCUGUGGUUAGGGGUGAAAGGCCAAUCAAACUCGGAUAUAGCUGGUUCUCCGCGAAAUCUAUUUAGGUAGAGCGUCAUAUGAUUACCACUGGAGGUAGAGCACUGAAUGAGCUAGGGGGUCCAACAGACUUACCAAACUUAAUCAAACUCCGAAUGCCAGUGAGUACAGUAUGGCAGACAGACCAUGGGUGCUAAGGUCCAUGGUCAAGAGGGAAAGAGCCCAGACCGCCAUCUAAGGUCCCAAAAUCAUAACUAAGUGUUAAAGGAUGUGGGAAGACCAAAACAACUAGGAGGUUGGCUUAGAAGCAGCCAUCCUUUAAAGAAAGCGUAAUAGCUCACUAGUCUAAAUAAGUCUUCCUGCGCCGACAAUGUAACGGGGCUAAAGUUAUGUACCGAAGAUGCGGAUUCAUAUGUUAGGCAUAUGAGUGGUAGCGGAGCGUUCCGUAAGCCUGUGAAGGCAAUCUGUAAGGAUUGCUGGAGGUAUCGGAAGUGAGAAUGCUGACAUGAGUAGCGACAAAGAAUGUGAGAGACAUUCUCGCCGAAAGUCCAAGGUUUCCUGCGUAAAGCUAAUCUGCGCAGGGUUAGUCGGCCCCUAAGGUGAGGCUGAAAGGCGUAGCCGAUGGGAAUCAGGUUAAUAUUCCUGAACCUGGAAGAAGUGACGGAGGCUGUAAGUUGUACACUCUUAUUGGAUUGAGUGUGCAGUGAAAGACUCCCAGGAAAUAACUCUUCCGUAUAGACCGUACCCCAAACCGACACAGGUGGACAGGUAGAGUAUACCAAGGCGCUUGAGAGAACGAUGCUGAAGGAACUAGGCAAAUUGCAUCUGUAACUUCGGGAGAAAGAUGACCUAUUUUUGGGCAACCAAUUGUAGGUGGCACAUACCAGGGGGUAUCGACUGUUUACUAAAAACACAGGGCUCUGCUAAGUCAAUAGACGAUGUAUAGGGUCUGACGCCUGCCCAGUGCUGGAAGAUUAAAAGGAGGGGUGCAAGCUCUGAAUUGAAGUCCCAGUGAACGGCGGCCGUAACAAUGACGGUCCUAAGGUAGCGAAAUUCCUUGUCGGGUAAGUUCCGACCCGCACGAA
rnacentral:rRNA from 1 species